CCGCGAACGGGUGAGUAACACGUGGGUAACGUGCCCCGAUGAUCGGGACAACCCGGGGAAACCCGGGCUAAUACCGAAUGAACCCUUCUGACUCAAGUCGGACGGGAAAAGGUAGCUUCGGCUUCCGCAUCGGGAUCGGCCCGCGGCCCAUUAGCUUGUUGGUGAGGUAACGGCCCACCAAGGCUUCGAUGGGUAGCUGGUCUGAGAGGACGAUCAGCCACACUGGGACUGAGACACGGCCCAG
rnacentral:rRNA from 1 species